rnacentral:rRNA from 1 species
UACGUAGGGGGCAAGCGUUAUCCGGAAUUACUGGGCGUAAAGCGCACGCUGGCGGUUCGCCAAGUUUGGAGUGACAGUUGUCGGCUCAACCGACAAAGGACUUCAAAAACUGGUGAACUUGAGGACGAGAGAGGAACAUGGAACUCCAGGUGUAGUAGUGAAAUGCGUAGAUAUCUGGAAGAACACCAAUGGCGAAGGCAAUGUUCUGGCUCGUUUCUGACGCUCAGGUGCGAAAGCCAGGGGAGCGAACGGG